rnacentral:rRNA from 1 species
UCCAGACUCCUACGGGAGGCAGCAGUGGGGAAUAUUGCACGAUGGGGGAAACCCUGAUGCAGCGACGCCGCGUGAAGGACGAAGUAUUUCGGUACGUAAACUUCUAUCAGCAGGGAAGAAAAUGACGGUACCUGACCAAGAAGCCCCGGCUAACUACGUGCCAGCAGCCGCGGUAAUACGUAGGGGGCAAGCGUUAUCCGGAUUUACUGGGUGUAAAGGGAGCGUAGACGGCCAUGCAAGUCUGAUGUGAAAACCCGGGGCUCAACCCCGGGACUGCAUUGGAAACUGUGCGGCUGGAGUGUCGGAGAGGCAAGUGGAAUUCCUAGUGUAGCGGUGAAAUGCGUAGAUAUUAGGAGGAACACCAGUGGCGAAGGCGGCUUACUGGACUGUAACUGACGUUGAGGCUCGAAAGCGUGGGGAGCAAACAGGAUUAGAUACCCGAGUAGG